CCUGAGCGGACAGUUGCUCUAAGGAUUUCCUAGUGUUGUCUUUUAUUAUUUCUUCAGUGUCUCGGAUAGCCGAAGUGUAACUCAUGCCAGGACACAACGGGGAUUUGCGAGGAGGGAGCAUGUAUGGCUGAAGGAUGUGGGCUCGGAGCGUUGGUCCUAGACCGCCUGACCUGAUGCUCCUAUGGGAGGGGAUGGUGAUCUCUCUCCGCUGGGCUUGUGUGCUCGUCUCUCUGGCUGUGUAUGUGGGCUCCGCGGAACCGCUCGGAUGGCUGCUGUCCGAUAAAGGUCCUUUCCAUCGCUCUCAGGAAUUCAUCGAGUUCACCGAGCGAUACCAACACGGCUUUACAACCAGAUACAAAAUAUACAGGAUAUUCUAGCCAAGAACUGCCCACUUAAACAACAUGAGACUGUCUGACUGACAUGGAAAACAACCAACCACAGGUCAUCUGUACAAGCUGUUCAGAGGCGGGUUUAUCAGGAAAGUGGGUUGCACUAUAUUUUGUAGUAUGUGCACUUACAGUGUACUUACCAAAGAAAGUACUGGGUAAUAUAAGGUAACUACAUAAGGUUAGUUUUAAGGGUACAUUCAGGGUUAGUAUCUGGUUAUUACUCAAUUUAUGUAAUUACUAUAAUAAGUAAAUAGUAUGUACAUGUAAAACAGGAUUGUAAAAUAUGUGUGUACACAUUAUAAUCAGAAAUGUUAGUACAUGCAAAUUAUCUUAAAAAUCACUCUUAAAAGUAAAGGUUCCAAAAGGAGAUUUCCUUAGAAAGUCAUAAAAUAA